rnacentral:misc_RNA from 1 species
GUUUCUUUUGAUGUGGGUGAUGAAAUGGUUAGGAAGAUACCCGUGCCAAGAGAUUGCGACAAUUCCUUGUCUUGGAACCUUAUGGCAUGGAGGGGAUCACUUGCAAUCUUCUUGUGUGGAAGGAGAGGAUUAAGCCUUCGAUUUGAUAUUUGGCGAAUGUAUAAUCAAUUUCACAGAGCCUGUAGUGAGCCUUUGACUAAGAUUUUCACGAGUGCACUUUUUUCUGAAGUUACAGAGCCCAUGGCAAUUUGGAAAGGAGAUGAAACGGUAGUGCAAGUACUAGAAGCCUGUGAUGAUGAACUGCUGUUGCAUGAUUAUAACAG